rnacentral:rRNA from 1 species
GACGAACCGUGCGAACGUUGUUCGGAUUCACUGGGCUUAAAGGGCGCGUAGGCGGGCGGUCAAGUCGGGGGUGAAAUCUUUCCGCUUAACGGGAAGCGUGCCUCCGAUACUGAUCGCCUCGAGGGAGGUAGGGGCAUGUGGAACUUCCGGUGGAGCGGUGAAAUGCGUAGAUAUCGGAAGGAACACCAGUGGCGAAGGCGAUCACCUGGGGUUGUUCUGACGCUGAGGAGCGAAAGCUAGGGGAGCAAACGGG